rnacentral:rRNA from 1 species
GAUGAACGCUGACAGAAUGCUUAACACAUGCAAGUCAACCUGAACUUCGGUUCGGGUGGCGGAUGGGUGAGUAACGCGUAAAGAACUUGCCUCACAGAUACGGACAAUAUUUUUAAACGAAUGCUAAUACCUGAUAUUAUGAUCAUAUAGCAUCGUAUAACUAUGAAAGCUAUAUGCGCUGUGGGAGAGCUUUGCGUCCUAUUAGCUAGUUGGAGAGGUAACGUCUCACCAAGGCGAUGAUGGGUAGCCGGCCUGGGAGGGUGACCGGCCACAAGGGGACUGAGGCACGGCCCGUACUCCAAAGGGAGGCAGCAGUGGGAAAUAUUGGACAAUGGACCAAGAGUCUGAACCAGCAAUUCUGUGUGGAAGAUGAAGUUUUUCGGAAUGAAAAGUGCUUGCAUUUGAGAAGGAAAAAGUGACGGUACCAACAGAAGAAGUAACGGCUAAAUACGUG